AUAACCAAGGAUGUGGUUAUCUUCAGGAAGAAGAUUUGAUUGACUAGGAAGUCGAUCGCCAGGAUGCGAAGGACGCUGUAUGGAUACGUUCAUCGAUAGGAUAUCGGUGACAAAGGAUUGAGAUGGACACCUCUUGGAAGAGGCAGGACUGUAUCAGGACGAUACCAAGGACACCGCUCAAGGAACAAGUGAAGUGCGCUAACGGGGAAUGUUGGCUUUCAGGAUGAUUAGGACACCGCUAGGACGGCGAUGAAUGGAAAUUGCUGAUGGAAUCAGCAACUAUUAUGGAAGAUGCAUGGAGCAACUUUUGUAGCCGGACUGCUGCGAGUAAGACUAUAGCCCCGAUACGUGAGUGUCGGGGCUUUUCUUAAUA
rnacentral:other from 1 species